rnacentral:rRNA from 1 species
GAGUUUGAUCCUGGCUCAGAUUGAACGCUGGCGGCAUGCCUUACACAUGCAAGUCGAACGGUAACAGGUCUUCGGAUGCUGACGAGUGGCGAACGGGUGAGUAAUACAUCGGAACGUGCCCGAGAGUGGGGGAUAACGGAGCGAAAGCUUUGCUAAUACCGCAUACGAUCUACGGAUGAAAGCAGGGGACCGCAAGGCCUUGCGCUCAUGGAGCGGCCGAUGGCAGAUUAGGUAGUUGGUGGGAUAAAAGCUUACCAAGCCGACGAUCUGUAGCUGGUCUGAGAGGACGACCAGCCACACUGGGACUGAGACACGGCCCAGACUCCUACGGGAGGCAGCAGUGGGGAAUUUUGGACAAUGGGCGCAAGCCUGAUCCAGCCAUGCCGCGUGCAGGAUGAAGGCCUUCGGGUUGUAAACUGCUUUUGUACGGAACGAAAAGACUCCUUCUAAUAAAGGGGGUCCAUGACGGUACCGUAAGAAUAAGCACCGGCUAACUACGUGCCAGCAGCCGCGGUAAUACGUAGGGUGCAAGCGUUAAUCGGAAUUACUGGGCGUAAAGCGUGCGCAGGCGGUUAUAUAAGACAGAUGUGAAAUCCCCGGGCUCAACCUGGGAACUGCAUUUGUGACUGUAUAGCUAGAGUACGGCAGAGGGGGAUGGAAUUCCGCGUGUAGCAGUGAAAUGCGUAGAUAUGCGGAGGAACACCGAUGGCGAAGGCAAUCCCCUGGGCCUGUACUGACGCUCAUGCACGAAAGCGUGGGGAGCAAACAGGAUUAGAUACCCUGGUAGUCCACGCCCUAAACGAUGUCAACUGGUUGUUGGGAAUUCACUUUCUCAGUAACGAAAGCUAACGCGUGAAGUUUGACCGCCCUGGGGGAGUACGGCCCGCAAGGUUGAAACUCAAAGGAAUUUGACGGGGACCCGCACAAGCGGUGGAUGAUGGUGGUUUUAAUUCCGAAGCAACGCGGAAAACCUUAACCAGAACUUUGACAUCGUCUGCAUUACCCGUAACCGGGGGAAAUCCCUUCGGGGACAGAAUAGACAGGUGGGUGCAUGGUUUUCGUCAGCUCGUGGUCGUGAGAAUGUUGGGUUAAGUCCCCGCAAACGAGCGCCAACCCUUAAUGCCUAGGUUGCCAUCAUUAAGAUUGGGGCCACCUCUAUGUGAAACCUGGCCGGGGAACAAAUUCCGGGAGAGAAGGGUGGGGGAUGAACGUCAAAAUCAUGCAAUGCCCCCUUAUGGUUUCCUUGGGGCUAAAAAAAAGAGGUGCCAUACCCAG